GCCUUUCCUAGAGCUCGGCUCGAAAGGCCCAGUCAACCAAACAGGGCCCAUCUGGCAUUCGGGUUUCUCUUUCUCUCCGCCACAACCCGCACCUCCUCCUCCUGACCUAUCUCGUGCUCGGUCGGUCUUGACCUACCCAAAGCUCUAACCCGACCCAAUAAAAUCUCGCCUACACCCUGCCGCCGCCGUAGCUUAGCGCGCGUCGCCGCCUCUCGCCUCUCGAACGCGUCGCGGCCGCCGCCGACGCCGCUCCAGUUCUGCCCCGUCGCGCGCCGCUGCCCCGCCCCAGCCGUUUCCACCCCGUCCGCAACCUUGGACAGCGGCUUUCGAGGUACCAGCUCUUUUGCCAUCCGGUGAUUGGUUACCUCAACCCUAACCAAUCAAAACCCCACCAGUUUUGGCCUAGAUCCGAAGCCGAAGCCGAAGCCGUUCGAGAGAUUGGGCCGAAGCUAGCUGGGUUGCUUUUCCAAAGUUCGUUUUUUUCUCUGUCAAAUCAACUGCGGUCUGCGGAGACGGCCG
rnacentral:lncRNA from 1 species